AUUCAAAUGACGAGUCCAGAACAGGACGAAACCUGCAUUCUGGAU
rnacentral:hammerhead_ribozyme from 1 species